CCCCUAUGUUCUAUUUUUAGCCAUGGCGGCCAUCUUGGUUGGUUGGCCGGGUCACCGGACACAUUUUUUAAACUAGAUACCCCAAUGAUGAUUGUGGCCAAGUUUGGUUAAAUUUGGCCUAGUAGUUUCAGAGGAGAAGAUUUUUGUAAAAGAUUACUAAGAUUUACGAAAAAUGGUUAAAAAUUGACUAUAAAGGGCAAUAACUCCUAAAGUGGUCAACUGACCAUUUUGGUCAUGUUGACUUAUUUGUAG
rnacentral:lncRNA from 1 species